AGACCUCAUUAAUGAAAUAGCAGUAAAGUAACUAGUGAUAACCAAAUAUCGCGUUCUCUUGUGCCUCAUGAUCGAAACAGUAGUAAUGACUAAUGAGUAUAAGGAACAAAAUCACAUUUCAAUUUCAUUAUAUCUCAUGAAUGAAAUUGGAGUCAUGAGUACAAGUACGACCGAAAAUCAUAUUUCAAAAACCCCAUGAGGCCAUAUGUAACUAUUUCAUAAUUUUAUUGAUAUUACCUAAACUAGUCAAAGGGACUUAAUAAGUAUUGCAGCUGUUUUUGGCAUGAAUGGAUGAAGCCUUGACAGAUUCUAGAAUUGACGUUUGGAUUAUUGGCUACUUUCAUUUGUUCUUACACUAUAGUCCAAGGCGAAUUUGAUGCAUUAAGUUCCUGUUCAUGUCAAUUUUGUUAUGCCUAAUAAAGUGAUAACAAGUGAGUUUCGCACUGGUGCUAUUUUUUUCCUGUACAGAAUGUCCCUCGGUCUUACUGUAUAUGAGAUUUGGAAGGAAAGAAACCAAUGGAGAUUCCAUAAAUGUUUUCAGACUUGACUUCAGAUUCUGCAGAUGAUUCAGAUCAGCGCUCAUAUCAGAAUUUUACAGAAGGAAAAACUGCAGACUUUCUGUACUCGUUAAUCUUUUAUGUAGUAUUAGUGCUCCUCUAUGCAUUUUGGUUGCUCUUCUAGUGUGUGCCUCUAUUCUGCUAGCUACUGCUAACUGCAGGGUACUGCUUUGAGGGGAGGCCUGUUGGCUUGCUGCUGUUAUCUGUGCAGGCUGAUCUAUUGUACAGAUGCUUGUUUUUGCUAUGUUCAGGCUAGGUGCAGCUUCUCUGCACAGGAUGGGUGCUGCUGCUUAUGUUGUUACGCUUCUUUGCACAGAACUGUGUAUAAUGUAAGCCUGCCGACAAGCUGGCCAGCGGAUUCAUUGGAUGUUGUAUGAGGCAACUUUUCAAGAUCGUGGGACAACCUUGAUGUAUUUUCCAAGUUAUAACAAAGAGCAGAUUGACGAAGUAAGAACUCAAUGGGUGCACCAUGUUGUCUAACAACUGUAUAUUAGCUCGGUUACGUUGAAUGAACCAAUAAUUGUACAGUUGUAUUAAUUAAUGUAUGUUGCGUAGUUUAAUGUUUGUGUUCUUAUUUUAGAACAUCUCUAUGUAAUCGGUUUUAUUAGGUUGACGUACAAUUGAAAAUUCUUUAUAAUGAGGUGUGGAAAUUAAUAUACGAUUAUUUUUACUCUUCAA